rnacentral:rRNA from 1 species
UGGGGAAUAUUGGACAAUGGGCGCAAGCCUGAUCCAGCAACGCCGCGUGGGUGAUGAAGGCUUUCGGGUCGUAAAGCCCUGUCAGCGGGGAAGAAACUCCGGGGAGCGAAUAGGUCUCCGGAUUGACGGUACCCGCGGAGGAAGCACCGGCUAACUCCGUGCCAGCAGCCGCGGUAAAACGGAGGGUGCGAGCGUUGUUCGGAAUUACUGGGCGUAAAGCGCGUGCAGGCGGUUUUUUAAGUUCUGUGUGAAAUCCCCCGGCUUAACCGGGGAACGGCGCGGAAUACUGAAAGACUUGAAUACGGGAGAAGUGGGCGGAAUUCCCAGUGUAGAGGUGAAAUUCGUAGAUAUUGGGAGGAACACCGGUGGCGAAAGCGGCUCACUAGACCGAUAUUGACGCUCAUACGCGAGAGCAUGGGGAGCAAACAGG